UAAUAGCGUAUAUUAAAGUUGUUGCAGUUAAAAAGCUCGUAGUCGGAUGUCGGGCUCGGGCAGGCUGUCGGCUUCGGUCGGACGGCAGGCUCGGGUCUUUCUGCCUGAGGAUCCAUCUCAUUCACUUGGGGUGGGGACGCAGGCCGUUUACUUUGAAAAAAUUAGAGUGUUCAAAGCAGGCCUACGCUUGAAUACAUUAGCAUGGAAUAAUGGAAUAGGACUUUGGUGCUAUUUUGUUGGUUUAUGGGACCGAAGUAAUGAUUAACAGGGACAGUUGGGGCCGUUUAUAUUUCGUUGUCAGAGGUGAAAUUCUUGGAUUUACGAAAGAUAAACUUCUGCGAAAGCAUUCGGCAAGGAUGUUUNCAUUGA
rnacentral:rRNA from 1 species